AAAAUUAAACGCUAACAAAAAUUUCCAAACAAAAUAACAGGUAACUGACCGCAUAAAUGUUCCAUUAGUUAUGUAUGAGCCGAUUUUCAAAGUCUACGGGACUUUACAAUGUUAAUUUCGGCCAUUGCUGCCAAGCGUACGAGGGAGUAGUUAUUAUUUUUCAUGCGCUUUAAAAUAAAUCGAAAAAAAAAUAAAACAUAAUGUUUUAUUUAAUCUGUGCAAAUAUAAAUGAUAAUUUAGCUAUUUAGCGAGACUGUUAGUUAUCCUUUUGUAAAUUCUAAGUCAGGAAAACAUAAAUCCGAGUGUGAUGCAGUACAACUAAUGAUGACCUAUAUAUCGAUACGUAUAAGUUACGAUGCGCUGAUAUUUUAAGCAUGAUAAGUGACUGUUGGGACUGUGAACGUUUCAAUGACAGCGCAACUGGAAAGCUUUUUACAAAGGUAUUAUAAUGGAAGUCCCUGUUACAAAGAGAGAGCUGAUCGCUAUAGGAAGAUUGAUACUAUAGAUGAAGAUCUGCUGACGAAGCCAUUCAUAACAUGCAGAAGAAGAAUAGUUGAAGUUUCACUUCUCAAAAGUCAGGGAGCAGUUCUCCAGAGACCAUGGGAAGGCUCAUGAAGGAGCUGGAUUCAGUCCAUACAAAGCGUUCCAACAUUGGACACACUUACCUGACUUUAGAGAGGGAUUGGUACAUAUGCGG